rnacentral:rRNA from 1 species
UAGGGAAUCUUCCGCAAUGGACGCAAGUCUGACGGAGCAACGCCGCGUGAGUGAAGAAGGAUUUCGGUUCGUAAAACUCUGUUGUUAGAGAAGAACAGCGCAUAGAGUAACUGUUAUGCGUGUGACGGUAUCUAACCAGAAAGCCACGGCUAACUACGUGCCAGCAGCCGCGGUAAUACGUAGGUGGCAAGCGUUGUCCGGAUUUAUUGGGCGUAAAGCGAGCGCAGGCGGUCAAUUAAGUCUGAUGUGAAAGCCCCCGGCUCAACCGGGGAGGGUCAUUGGAAACUGGUUGACUUGAGUGCAGAAGAGGAGAGUGGAAUUCCAUGUGUAGCGGUGAAAUGCGUGGAUAUAUGGAGGAACACCAGUGGCGAAGGCGACUCUCUGGUCUGUAACUGACGCGGAGGCUCGAAAGCGUGGGUAGCAAACAGG